rnacentral:misc_RNA from 1 species
AUAAAAUAAAAUAAAAUAAAAAUUGAUCUCUCUCUAACAUUUAGAGAAACUUUUAUCUCUAUAAAUUUGGUUGUCCUUGGUUAAGGAUCCUAGCGCGAGUGAGACGCUGAAAAGUCUCGUUGCCAUUUACCUCUGCUAAUCAUUGCCAAUGAGAUGCUUCCAUGGCUUCUCCUUUCGGUGAGAUAUGGCUCCUUUGGCUAUGUGCUUCACUUUGCCUGUGCUUAUUAGCUCUAGUUGAUCUGCUCAAAUCUGAGUUUUUUUUUUUUUCAAUCCUCGCUUGAGGCCUCCAAAUCAAGCAUUGAUGCUAUGCAUGGCCUGGAGUAAAGGAUAGGCGAUAAAGGAUAAAGGAUAAGCGAUAACGCUGUUCUUUGUUUUUUUGCCGAAUUUUGGUUUUUGGGUGAGCUGCCCACUUUGCUGGGGUUGUUUAUGGGUCCUGGACCUUAGACUAUGGAGUGGUCUAGUUGGCUAGGUUUUGAUGUUUAGGCCUGAGAGCUUUUCUGUUAUUCCGCCAGAGAGCGUCUUCUUUGUUUUUGGGCUUCAAGUCUCCAAUUCCUAUAAAAAAAUUUUAAUUG